AAAGCGGCAAUGAGGAAGAGAGUAUCUUCUUCCUUACCCUUUCAGAGAGCCCGGGUAGGUGAGAGCGGGUAAGGGAGGAAGAGGUGAAAAUCACUUCCGAGCAGCUGAUCGAACAGAGAAGGUUUUUUUAGAGUACACCUUUUCCAGUAGAUUCAGACGUUUCAUCGCCCGUUACCGCGAUGCCGGCAUUUUACGUCGGAGUGAGCUUCCCUGGGUUGAGGGAAAGCAGGGUGGUACCGCGGCAAAGUCCGUCCCUACG
rnacentral:ncRNA from 2 species